rnacentral:rRNA from 1 species
UACGAAGGGUGCAAGCGUUUGUCCGGAAUCACUGGGCGUAAAGGGCACGUAGGCGGCUCAUGAAGGCUGUGGUGAAAGUCCGGGGCUCAACCUCGGAUCGGCCGUGGCGACUCGUGGGCUGGAGCACUGUAGAGGCGGGUGGAAUUCCGGGUGUAGCGGUGGAAUGCGUAGAGAUCCGGAAGAACACCAGUGGCGAAGGCGGCCCGCUGGGCAGUGGCUGACGCUGAAGCGCGACAGCGUGGGGAGCAAACAGG